rnacentral:rRNA from 1 species
UACGUAAGGGGCAAGCGUUGUCCGGAAUUACUGGGCGUAAAGCGUGCGCAGGCGGCUUUGCAAGACAGAUGUGAAAUCCCCGGGCUUAACCUGGGAACUGCAUUUGUGACUGCAUGGCUGGAGUGCGGCAGAGGGGGAUGGAAUUCCGCGUGUAGCAGUGAAAUGCGUAGAUAUGCGGAGGAACACCGAUGGCGAAGGCAAUCCCCUGGGCCUGCACUGACGCUCAUGCACGAAAGCGUGGGGAGCAAACAGG